UACGGGGGGGCAAGCGUUGUUCGGAAUUACUGGGCGUAAAGGGCUCGUAGGUGGCCAACUAAGUCGGACGUGAAAUCCCUCGGCUUAACCGGGGAACUGCAUCCGAUACUGGAUGGCUUGAGUUCGGGAGAGGGAUGCGGAAUUCCAGGUGUAGCGGUGAAAUGCGUAGAUAUCUGGAGGAACACCGGUGGCGAAGGCGGCAUCCUGGACCGACACUGACGCUGAGGAGCGAAAGCCAGGGGAGCAAACGGG
rnacentral:rRNA from 1 species